AGUAAAUAAAACAAUUUAUGUAAAUUUCAAUAGUGAGCUUUUGGACAAAACGACGACAGAUAAUAGCUGAUGUUGAAUAUUGCCUAAAAGAUCUUACCAUUAAAUCAAGCAAUAUUUCACAUUCACCAGAAGAAGUACAAUAAUUGUAUUUAAAAAGUAUAUCCGAUUAAAAAAUUUCAACUGAGAGUGCUGUUCCCUAAGAUAAUAGCUGUGGCAAGUAAAGGAGGCCAGACUUUAAAGGAGGCUGUCCAGAGAAUGUCCUUUGCGUUAUUCACUAAUAACCUCUGCUGUAAACUUAACUUGUCUGGUAUUACCAAAAAUGACAAUGAAAGUAACUUUGUAAAACAAAGACUUACACUUGCUUAAAAGAGCUGUAAAAAGAAAUCCUGCAACAACUUCAGCAACUGAAUCAGAUUUUCAAUAUGAGGUUGUGCGUUUUUUGCGUGGUGCAUCAGACCGCAAUGGCAGAAAAAAAGUUAGACAAGACCAAAAAAACAAACAAGCCGAGAAAAUGAUGCCUACAUCAUGUUUUCCAAUGCCAUUAAAUAAUUUAGUUCAGAAGAUGAAUAACAUUGCUAAAUAAAAUAAGCAUCUUUAUUUACAUAUUUGUUAUCUUUAUUUUACAAUAUUUUAUAUAUUUUUAAACUCAAUGGAGUAAAGUUUUUGUGUAAUGAGUAUUAUUGAUCUGUGUUUUUCAUAUUCAUUCCCUUUUACAGUAACCUUAUGUAAAUGA